rnacentral:lncRNA from 1 species
CGGCCGCUCGCUGCAGAGUUUUUCUUUUUCUUUUUAUGCAGUUUUUCUUUAUGUUUGAAUUUGUGUAAUAAAUCUUGUGUUGAUCCAAAAAUCAUAGAAAUUUUUGUGUAGAUUCCCUGGAAUAAGUAGAACCCAAGAAAAAUGUUAGAUCUUAGUUUCUGAUAGUUUACAUGUGUAUGAAAAUUGCCUCUUUUGUUUAAUAAAUGAAACUUCUAUGAAUUUUUGUAAUUUAUUUAU